rnacentral:rRNA from 1 species
CUCGAUUCGUUAGAACAGCUUCCAUUCAGUCUCUGCACCUAUCCUUUUCCUUUGUAUUCUAGUUCGAGAACCCCUUGUUUCUCAAAACACGGAUUUGGCUCAGGAUUGCCCUUUUUUAAUUCCAGGGUUUCUCUGAAUUUGGAAGUUACCACUUAG